rnacentral:rRNA from 1 species
UACCAGCACCCCGAGUGGUCGGGACGAUUAUUGGGCCUAAAGCAUCCGUAGCCGGUUCUACAAGUCUUCCGUUAAAUCCAACUGCUUAACAGGUGGGCUGCGGAAGAUACUAUAGAGCUAGGAGGCGGGAGAGGCAAGCGGUACUCGAUGGGUAGGGGUAAAAUCCGUUGAUCCAUUGAAGACCACCAGUGGCGAAGGCGGCUCACUGGCCCGGUACUGACGCUGAUGUGCGAAAGCGUGGGGAGCAAACAGG